GAUGAACGCUGGCGGCGUGCCUAAUACAUGCAAGUCGAGCGAACAGACGAGGAGCUUGCUCCUCUGACGUUAGCGGCGGACGGGUGAGUAACACGUGGAUAACCUACCUAUAAGACUGGGAUAACUUCGGGAAACCGGAGCUAAUACCGGAUAAUAUAUUGAACCGCAUGGUUCAAUAGUGAAAGACGGUUUUGCUGUCACUUAUAGAUGGAUCCGCGCCGCAUUAGCUAGUUGGUAAGGUAACGGCUUACCAAGGCGACGAUGCGUAGCCGACCUGAGAGGGGGGACAGCCCACCUGAGAACGGGACCACGUCCCAGCCCCCACGGGGGGGCAGCAGGGGGGACUCUUCGGAAAGGGGCGAAGCCAGGAGGGGGCAACGCGGCGGGAGGGAUAAGGUUCUCGGGAUCUAAAAACUGUUUUAUGAGGGAAAAAAAAAUGUGAAAUUAACUAUGCACGUCUUGAGGGUCCCUAAUAAGAAAGCCAGGGCAAACACCGUG
rnacentral:rRNA from 1 species